ACUCCUACGGGAGGCAGCAGUGGGGAAUAUUGCACAAUGGGGGAAACCCUGAUGCAGCCAUGCCGCGUGUGUGAAGAAGGCCUUCGGGUUGUAAAGCACUUUCAGUAGGGAGGAAGGUAGUGUAGUUAACACCUGCAUUAUUUGACGUUACCUACAGAAGAAGCACCGGCUAACUCCGUGCCAGCAGCCGCGGUAAUACGGAGGGUGCGAGCGUUAAUCGGAAUUACUGGGCGUAAAGCGCAUGCAGGCGGCCUGUUAAGUCAGAUGUGAAAGCCCGGGGCUUAACCUCGGAAUUGCAUUUGAAACUGGCAGGCUAGAGUCUUGUAGAGGGGGGUAGAAUUUCAGGUGUAGCGGUGAAAUGCGUAGAGAUCUGAAGGAAUACCAGUGGCGAAGGCGGCCCCCUGGACAAAGACUGACGCUCAGAUGCGAAAGCUGGGGGGAGC
rnacentral:rRNA from 1 species